rnacentral:rRNA from 1 species
UACGAAGGGGGCUAGCGUUGUUCGGAAUUACUGGGCGUAAAGCGCGCGCAGGCGGCUAUCCAAGUCAGUGGUGAAAGCCCGGAGCUCAACUCCGGAACUGCCAUUGAAACUGUUUAGCUUGAGGACGAGAGAGGUGAGUGGAAUUCCCAGUGUAGAGGUGAAAUUCGUAGAUAUUGGGAAGAACACCGGUGGCGAAGGCGGCUCACUGGCUCGUUUCUGACGCUCAGGCGCGACAGCGUGGGGAGCGAACAGG